rnacentral:tRNA from 1 species
UAGAUUAUGGUGUAUUUGGUAGCACGGAGAUUUUUGAAUUCUCAGGUAUGGGUUCAAUGCCUAUUUUUCUAG